rnacentral:rRNA from 1 species
CUGCCCAGUGAUGAUAUAUUCAACGGCCGCGGUAUCCUAACCGUGCAAAGGUAGCAUAAUCACUUGCCUAUUAAUUGUAGGCUAGAAUGAAAGGAUAAACGAAAUAAAGACUGUCUCAGUUAGCAUCCUAAAAACUAUUCUUUAUAUGAAGAAAUAUAAAUACAAUCGAAGGACAAGAAGACCCUAUAGAGCUUCAUUUUCAAAUAGAUGAAUUCUAUGAUACAAAAUUCGGUUGGGGCGACCUAGGGCACAUAAAUCACCCUUAUAACUAUAGAUAAAUAUAUCAAUGUAUUGACCCUUAAACAGAUCACAAAAACAAGCUACCUUAGGGAUAACAGGCUAAUCCUAUUCAAGAGUUCAUAUCUACAAUAGGGCUUGGCACCUCGAUGUUGGCUUAGGAUUUCUAUAUAGCGCAAAAGCUAUACAAAGAUGGUUUGUUCAACCAAUUAUUUCCU